GCCAGUGUGGCGUACUGGUUUAAGUACUGGACUGCAACACUGGAGACCAGGGUUUGAUUCCCAGCUUGGCCA